rnacentral:rRNA from 1 species
GAUGAACGCUGGCGGCGUGCUUAACACAUGCAAGUCGAACGGGAUCCCAGGGGUGCUUGCCCUUUUUGGUGAGAGUGGCGAACGGGUGAGUAACACGUGAGUAACCUGUCCUUUUCUUUGGGAUAAGCAUUCGAAAGGGUGUUUAAUACCUUAUGUUCUGUCUGCCUCGCAUGGGGUGGGUGGGAAAGGCUUUGGCCGGAUUUGGGUGGGCUCGCGGUCUAUCAGCUUGUUGGUGGGGUGAUGGCUUACCAAGGCUUUGACGGGUAGCCGGCCUGAGAGGGUGGUCGGUCACAUUGGGACUGAGAUACGGACCAGACUCCUGCGGGAGGCAGCAGUGGGGGAUAGUGCACAAUGGGCGAAAGCCUGAUGCAGCGACGCCGCGUGGGGGAUGAAGGCCUGCGGGUUGUAAACUUCUGUUGCGCUGAACAAGGCGCACUUUUGGGUGUGUUGAGUGUAGGGGUUGAUUAGCGCCGGCUAACUACGUG